UGCGAGAUGCCUACUUGUUCCCAUUAUUUUCAUGAACCAUGUCUCACUGAGUGGUUGACUCGAGAUAAUAACUCAUGCCCUCUCUGUCGCAAACCUGUUGACAAACUACACAGUUGACUACAUGUUUACUAAAUUAGGGUUUUCACUUUUAUGUUUUACUUGUUAACUUGUUUCACGUUUAUGUUUUGUCGAAGAUGCAGAUUAGGGUUUUUCAUAGUUUAUGUAUCUGUUUUUGUUGGCAACUAUGUAAUACAGUAAUGAUUUUAUCAAUUUCAUUUACAAGUUUGAUACUAGUAUGCGACACAUAUCUCUUGCAACACAAAUCACUGACUUAAACCAAAUAUAGUUUCAGGAGUAAACUAGAUCUGAUUCAGUCUCUGGAGAGGAAGAAGAAGGUUCAGAGAGCUCAAAUAGAUGACCACAAGAAAUCUAGUUACAAGAUAGUUAAAGCAUUUCGCAAGUUAUUUUAAGCCUGAUUCAUGGUUUAACAAUUUUAGCUUAUAAGUUUCGACUCUCCAUAAGUGUUCUCUUUGGAUGUGAAUUACUAAUAUUAGAUGACAUGAAAUCCCAUUCAAAUAUAAGUACUUUGCUGUUUCCUAAUAUGCCCUUAAUAACAAUAUUAACACCACAAAUAAGAAAACAAAGAAACCUCUUUUUUCUCUAAUCCAAAUGAAAGAAACUAAAAAAGGGUUCUAAAGUACCUGAAAUUGUUUCACAUGAAUGAUCUUCAAUCCAAUCCUUGGAGGUAAAAUCGCAGCUGUGGCCAUCAAAAGAUCCCUGUUUCAGGUAUAGCCAAAGCGAACGUCGAUAUCAUUUUCGAAUUCCAACAUGAAUGUUUUAAUGAAAUUUGCUGGAAAGAGAUUGGCUUUAAAGGAUUCUGUAUACAAUUUGUGACAGAUUUUUGUAAUUUUAUACAAAAGAACAAUAAUGGAGAUUUUCAAAAAGGCUGAAACCGUGCGUUUACGUAGCUACCACGACAAGUAUCUUCUAGCAGAGGAGGAUGAAGAAUCCGUGAGCCAGGACAGAGACGGGCGGUCUAUGAACGCAAGAUGGACGGUGGAGGUUGUAGA
rnacentral:lncRNA from 1 species